rnacentral:rRNA from 1 species
GUAGGUGGCAAGCGUUGUCCGGAAUUAUUGGGCGUAAAGCGCGCGCAGGCGGUUCUUUAAGUCUGAUGUGAAAGCCCACGGCUCAACCGUGGAGGGUCAUUGGAAACUGGAGAACUUGAGUACAGAAGAGGAAAGCGGAAUUCCACGUGUAGCGGUGAAAUGCGUAGAGAUGUGGAGGAACACCAGUGGCGAAGGCGGCUUUCUGGUCUGUAACUGACGCUGAGGCGCGAAAGCGUGGGGAGCAAACAGGGAUUAGAUACCCUGGUAGUCCACGCCGUAACGAUGAGUGCUAAGUGUUAGGGGGUUUCCGCCCCCUUAGUGCUGCAGCUAACGCAUUAAGCACUCCGCCUGGGGAGUACGGCCGCAAGGCUG